UUUCUCUUACAAGGGCAAGUUUGAAAAGGUAAACACAAUCGGUUGGCCCUGGCUUGACCACAUCAAUCAACCUGACAAAAGUCAAUAAUAGAAGCUAAACAGUAGAGGCAUCAUCAAAGAGUGUGGCUCAUGUCACUGUCCUCCACGGCAUGUCCUUGUCGAUACUGGUACAGCCGGAAGCCAUCAAGGCUCUUCCCAGUCUACAGAUUGGCAGAUGGUCAUCAGCAUUCAGCACCUCUGGAAAAUUCUGCAGCAUUGAACAUUUGAUCAAGUCAAAAAGAAGACAGUGGACGUAUAGAUCAUAUAAGGAAUAGCAGGGCAUUGUUGAAAAGCAAGCACGCAUGACCAAGACUCCAAGAGUAUCCUCUCAAAGAAAAGAAAAUAGACUUAAGAGUAUCCGAAGCAACCAAAACUGGAAUCAGUAUGCUCACAGCAAUGGGGCUGGUGAGCUUGCUAUCAUCACUUGCUGCCAUCCUGAUGAUGGUCGUCGUGAGCGCCGGCGAUGAGGCCGCGUUGCUUGCUUUCAAAGCACAGGCCAGCGGCGGCGCCGGCGGCUCCCGUGCACUGGCCUCCUGGAACGACAGCGCCCACUUCUGCAGCUGGGAGGGCGUCACGUGCAGCCACCGGAGAACAAAGCAGGUGGUGGUGGCGCUGAGCUUGCACCGCGGGGAGCUCACCGGAGCACUGUCCCCAGUUCUUGGGAACCUCACGUUCCUGCGGACGCUCAACCUGAGCUACAACUCGCUCCACGGCGAGAUCCCAGCGAGCCUCGGGCGCCUCCGCCUCCUGAAGAACCUUGAUCUCUCCCAUAACCAGCUCGUGGGCUCGAUCCCACCAGAGCUCGGCAGCAUCCAGAGCAUGCAGAUAUUGCAACUGUCCGCCAACAAGCUCUCUGGUAUGCUUCCACACGCUCUCUACAACUUGUCCUCGCUGGAAAGAUUUCAGGUUGGGGGCAAUAAGCUGAACGGAAGCAUUCCGGUUGAUAUCGGCAACAAGUACCCAGCUUGCAAGUUCUUAAUUUGGGCGCUAAUCAGUUCACAGGAACCAUCCCUUCGUCACUGUCCAAUCUAUCUGAUCUCACGGUACUGGUCCUCGAGCUAAAUAGAUUCAGCGGGUAUGUUCCUCCCACUUUGGGGAGGCUGGGAGCUCUCCAAGACCUGUACUUGACUGUUAGACUUGAAGCGAAUGAAAAAGAGGGAUGGGAGUUCAUCACUUCUUUAGCAAACUGCAGCCAACUGCGGCGCUUGAUACUCAGCAGCAACCCUUUUGGAGGACAACUACCGCGUUCGAUUGUGAAUCUCUCGACAUCACUCCAGAUGUUACGAUUAGAUGACAAUAGGAUCUCUGGGAGUAUCCCUGCAGACAUCGGCAAUCUGGUUGGUCUGAACAUACUACUGAUAGUGAAUACUUCCAUGUCAGGAGUGAUUCCAGAGAGCAUAGGGAAACUGAAAAACUUGGUUGACCUUGGCCUGUAUAGUACUGGCUUGACAGGCAUCAUACCGCAAUCUGUAGGAAAUCUUACAGAGUUAACUAGGUUUCUUGCAUUCUGGAACAACCUGGAAGGAUCAAUACCAGCAAGUCUCGGGAACCUGAAGAAUCUAUUCAUUCUAGAUUUGUCAACAAAUUACCGCCUGAAUGGUUCAAUACCCGUGGAAAUUUUUCAGCUGCCUUCACUCUCAUGGUACUUGGAUUUAUCAUACAAUGCACUUUGUGGACCCCUCCCGUCAGAAGCAGGUACAAUGACUAACCUCAAUGAAUUGAUUCUGUCAGGAAACCAGUUGUCCGGACAAAUACCUAGCACUAUAGGAAAUUGCAUAGUUCUGCAGAAAAUCUUACUGGACAAGAACUCUUUUGAAGGAAGUAUACCCAAAUCUCUGGAAAACAUAAAAGGACUCAAUAUAUUAAAUCUGACCAUGAAUAAUUUGUCUGGAAGGAUCCCUGAUGCCAUCGGUGGCAUUCGAGAUCUACAACAAUUGUAUCUAGCACACAACAACUUGUCAGGUGUAAUCCCUGCAGUUCUACAGAAUUUGACAGCAUUGUCAAAAUUGGAUGUAUCCUUCAAUAACUUGCAAGGUGAGGUGCCAGAUGGAGGUGUUUUCAGAAACAUCACUUACAUAGCAGUUACUGGGAAUAUCAAUCUCUGCAGCGGCACACCUCAACUUCGCUUGGCUCCAUGCUCCACAAGCCCCGUACACAAGAACAAAAAAGGGCUGUCAAAGUCUCUUAUAAUUUCUCUAGCAACAAUUGGAGCAAUCUUUUUGUCACUUUCAGUUAUUCUUGGUGUUUGCGUGCUUCACAAGAAGCUCAAGCGAAACCAGCAGACAGUAAUUGAAUAUUCAAUUGCUGGAGACCACUACGAAAGAAUCCCAUAUGAUGCAUUAUUCAGAGGAACUGACGGGUUUUCAGAAGUUAACUUGAUUGGGAGAGGAAGUUAUGGUGCUGUUUAUAAGUGUGUUUGGACACUGACGAAAGAACCUUGGCUGUCAAGGUGUUUAACCUUGGUCAAUCCAGGUCUUCCAAGAGUUUUGAGGUUGAAUGUGAUGCCAUGAGAAGGAUACCACACCAAUGUCUCAUAAAGAUCAUUACUUGUUGUUCGAGCAUCAACCAUCAAAGUCAAGAGUUCAAGGCAUUGGUUUUUGAGUUCAUGCCCAGUGGUAACUUGGAUGGUUGGCUUCACCCGAAAUCUCAAAAGCUCACUAAAAGCAACACACUCAAUCUUGCGCAGAGGCUUGAUAUUGCAGUCGAUAUUGUGGAUGCAAUAGAAUAUCUUCACAACCACUGCCAACCGUUGAUAAUCCACUGCGAUCUUAAGCCAAGCAACAUUCUUCUCGCUGAGGACAUGAGAGCCCGAGUUGGAGACUUCGGCAUAUCAAGAAUCCUACAAGAAAGUACAUGCAAGAGGAUGCAAAACUCAUAUAGCUCAGUUGGAAUUAGAGGUACCAUAGGCUAUGUUGCUCCAGGUAACUGAAAUUCUUCUAGUUUUGUCAUUUACUAUUCACAUAAACAUGUCAUGCUAAGUUGCUAACUUCAAAGUUAAUGAAUAAUUGUAGAGUAUGGGGAGGGCUAUGCAGUCUCAACUCGUGGUGAUAUUUACAGUCUUGGGAUAUUGCUGCUUGAGAUGUUUACCGGAAGAAGCCCAACAAACGACACGUUCAGGGAUUCAUUGGAUCUCCAUAAGUUUGCAGAGGAUGCUCUUCCAGAUAGAACCUUGGAGAUAGCAGACCCAACAAUCUGGCUCCACAGUGAACCGCUGGAUAGCACUACGAGUACCAGAAUCCAAGAAUGCUUGGUUUCUGUCUUUAGGCUUGGCAUAUC
rnacentral:lncRNA from 1 species